GCACAAGCGGUGGAGCAUGUUGGUUUAAUUCGAAGCAACGCGAAAGAACCCUUUACCAGGUCUUGACAUCCCGAUGCUAUUUCUAGAGAUAGAAAGUUACUUCGGUACAUCGGUGACAGGUGGUGCAUGGUUGUCGUCAGCUCGUGUCGUGAGAUGUUGGGUUAAGUCCCGCAACGAGCGCAACCCCUAUUGUUAGUUGCCAUCAUUCAGUUGGGCACUCUAGCGAGACUGCCGGUAAUAAACCGGAGGAAGGUGGGGAUGACGUCAAAUCAUCAUGCCCCUUAUGACCUGGGCUACACACGUGCUACAAUGGUUGGUACAACGAGUUGCGAGUCGGUGACGGCGAGCUAAUCUCUUAAAGCCAAUCUCAGUUCGGAUUGUAGGCUGCAACUCGCCUACAUGAAGUCGGAAUCGCUAGUAAUCGCGGAUCAGCACGCCGCGGUGAAUACGUUCCCGGGCCUU
rnacentral:rRNA from 1 species